rnacentral:rRNA from 1 species
AGCAGCCGCGGUAAUUCCAGCUCCAAUAGCGUAUAUUAAAGUUGUUGCAGUUAAAAAGCUCGUAGUUGAAUUUCGGGGUUAGUAGGUUGGUCAUGCCUCUGGUAUGUACUGGUCUCACUGAUUCCUCCUUCCUGAUGAACCUUAAUGCCAUUAAUUUGGUGUUUUGGGGAAUUUGGACUGUUACUUUGAAAAAAUUAGAGUGUUUAAAGCAAGCUAACGCUUGAAUACAUUAGCAUGGAAUAAUGAAAUAGGACGUUCGAUCCUAUUUUGUUGGUUUCUAGGAUUGACGUAAUGAUUAAUAGGGAUAGUUGGGGGCAUUAGUAUCCAAUUGUCAGAGGUGAAAUUCUUGGAUUUAUUGAAGACUAACUACUGCGAAAGCAUUUGCCAAGGAUGUUUUCAUUAAUCAAGAACGAAAGUUAGGGGAUCGAAGACGAUCAGAUACCGUCGUAGUCUUAACCAUAAACUAUGCCGACUAGGGAUCGGAUGAUGUUAAUUUUUUAAUGACUCA